rnacentral:rRNA from 1 species
GAUGAACGCUAGCGAUAGGCUUAACACAUGCAAGUCGAGGGGCAGCAUGGUCUUAGCUUGCUAAGACUGAUGGCGACCGGCGCACGGGUGCGUAACGCGUAUGCAACUUGCCUCACAGAGGGGGAUAACCCGUCGAAAGACGGACUAAUACCGCGUACACUUGGGAUAGGGCAUCCUGACCCAAGGAAAUGAAAUUCGCUGUGAGAUAGGCAUGCGUCCCAUUAGCUAGUUGGUGAGGUAACGGCUCACCAAGGCGACGAUGGGUAGGGGAACUGAGAGGUUGAACCCCGAAACUGGUACGGAGACACGGACCAGACGACAGCGGGCGGCAGGAGUGAGGAAUAAUGGGCAAUGGGCGAGAGCCAGACCCAGCCAGGUGGCGGAAAGGAUGACUGUCUUAUGGAUUGUAAACUUCUUUAUACGGGAAUAACAAGAGCCACGUGUGGCUCCCUGAAGGUACCGUAUGAAUAAGCAUCGGCUAACUCCGUG